AAAGAAGGGUACUUAUCUUAAAAUUCCAGCCUUUCUUUGUACUUCCUCACAUUGUCCGCUGUUUCAUUCUCAUCAAUAUCGCAACUGAAAAACUUUUGAAAACGUGUAGGUAUUGUAGAAGAAUCAGUAUUUCAAUGUAAUUUAAUUGAUAUUCCCCAAGGGUAAAGGAAUUUUUUUUCACUUUUUUACGGAGCGCUGCGAACGUCCAGCCGCUUGCCUCGGUGAUCGCCACUCCAUCCUGAUGUUGAUGUAUCUGCCAUCAAAAGAGAAUGUUAUGGUUUCGAAAUUGGGGUACUUAGUAGUAUGAAAAAUUUCCCUUAUUAAAAUUUUUCGUAUGCAUUGAUUUUAAAUGUUUCUUUUAAAACUUGUGUGAGUAAGGAAAGAAUUACUUUGAAUAAAAGUUUUGUGACUCAAUCCAUUUUACAUCCGCGAUAAAUACUAAUAAUAUUGUGGUAUCUAAGUAAGAUAAAACAGUACCGAGGCUGAUAUCGUGUACUUACUGUAAAGGGAAGAAACUUUUCUCUAGGAGGUGCAUGAGAAAUCAUUUGAAAAAAGAAAUAUUUAUUUAGAAAAAUUUAAUUUAUAUUAGAAUUUAAAAAGAAAUCAUGCAUAUUUACAAACCAGAGGAAUGCCAUCUGUGUAUAAGGUUUGUAAAGAGCCAUUUAGACUAAAGCCUUCUUUAAACGAGUUUUCGGUUAUUUACGCACAAGUGAAAUCGUAUGUGUGUUAGGAUAAAGUCUACUAGAUAAACUGCUUAAUUCUUUCCUGCUAUUGGUUAUAUAUACUAAUUGAUAUUAAGGAAAAAUACUGGAAUACAAUAACAAAAAUUGUCAAAAAGAAUACAAAUAUAUAUCAGAAUAUAAGUGCAUGUAACAGAGAUGUUCCUUGCUGUAGCUUCUUCAUGAGCAUUCAAGUUAGAGCACUUCUCUGAGACUUCUAAAACCAACUCACUGGGUUUACCUGAAGGUCGCCGCUUUUUCGGAUGGCCAAGAGUCUCCUUUCCCCAUCGAUGACGACUAGCUGAUAGCUUUGCACUUUGUAAUCGAUUACGAAGUCUCGAUACUCUGUUUACGUUUUAGGCGGAAUUGUGGAAAUUUUGCGGAACGGAAAAGGGCCUUCACCUUCAUAUUUUAUUUUAUUUAUUUAUUUUUUUGCGGUAUACGAGACUGGGCGCAAUGCGAAUAAAUCUGUAUGAUACACAGAAACUUGCUCAUAUUGCUGAUACAAUGAUCAAGAGUAUUGAUAUGUUUAGUUCAUUUCUGUUGUUAAAAUAAAAAACCGCAAUUGUGCAUGUAAUGAGUGUAAACAAUAAUGAAAAUUUAGAUAUGUCUGUAUUGUUGACUAAGUAGUAAUAAUGCCUGAUUGUAAAAUAUAUAUUAGACUACUGAUUGUAUAUGUACGAUUUAAAGUAAUAAUUACGUAGGGUAGAACACAGCAAAAGAAUCACUGAAUUUUUAUUUAUUUGAAUGACCCAUAAUUUUUGUUUUGUUCAUAGGGAUAUAUCUUUUUUAGGUGAUAUAUCUAUUUUAAUAUAUUGUGUACUUAAUUGUGUGUGCAUAUAUAUACGAAUAAACGGGCCUUAAAACUUGGGUUGAUUUAGUAAAAAAAUUGUGUGUUAUUAUAAACAUUAUAAUACUAUACCACACAAGCACUUUCUUAUAUAUGUAAUGUAAUCUUAGAGAAAUACCAACUGAAUACUUCUUUGAAUAUCUAUAAUAUUCUCUGACUGUGUUGUUUCAUAUACAAUGAUCAAGCAAAGACAGCGUUAAAAUUUUGCUCCGAACAGCUGAGAUGCGUGUCUUAAAUUUUGUACUAAACAGCACAAACUUAUGUCUGGAGGAAAGAAAUUUAUAAAUUUUUGUUUUUGUCUACG